GGUAUGCACUGGCUUCGCUGAUUCCUCCUUUCUGAAGAACUGUAAUGUCAUUAAUUUGGUGUUGCAGGGAAACAGGACUGUUACUUUGAAAAAAUUAGAGUGUUUAAAGCAGGCUAACGCUUGAAUACAUUAGCAUGGAAUAAUGAAAUAGGACGCUCGAUCCUAUUUUGUUGGUUUCUAGGAUUGACGUAAUGAUUAAUAGGGAUAGUUGGGGGCAUUAGUAUUCAAUUGUCAGAGGUGAAAUUCUUGGAUUUAUUGAAGACUAACUACUGCGAAAGCAUUUGCCAAGGAUGUUUUCAUUAAUCAAGAACGAAAGUUAGGGGAUCGAAGACGAUCAGAUACCGUCGUAGUCUUAACCAUAAACUAUGCCGACUAGGGAUCGGAUGAUGUUAAUUUUUUAAUGACUCAUUCGGCGCCUUACG
rnacentral:rRNA from 1 species